UUAUCUCCUUCAGCAAGAUAUUUCCUUCUUCUUCUUGAAGCUUCCAAUGCCAUCUUCUCAUUCACCACCAUGAAAAUGGAGUUUUUCAAUUUCUUUUCCUUGUUUUCUUCUCAUUUCCUUUCUUUUUUUACUUCUUUCUUGUCCAAACUUCUUGGGCACUAAACCUGAAGCUUUUAACCCCAAUUUUCAGCACAUCUAAACCCUAGGAGAAGAAGAAAGAAAAAGAAAGGAAGGAAGAAAAGCUUGGUUUUGGUGAUUCAAGCAAGGAAAGGUAAGGAUUCUUGUUUUUGGCUUGAGUAGUCUUUAAAAAUGAGUUAGUGACUUAGAGAAAAGAGUGGCUUGAUUGGAGAAAUAUUGGUAACAUGUAAGCCAAUAAACCCAUGGGUACAUGAAGGACUCAAAGUGGAAAAGGAAAACGGUAAGCUUAACACUAUGUUUUAAAGCCUACGGUUAGUUGAAUAUUGUGAGGAAUUAUGGUUGUUGAAAGGAUCUAUUUGCCUAAGCUAGUUGAAAAUUAUUAAGAUUGUAUGGCAUGUUGUUUGAAAGAAAUGAAAAGGGAAUAUUGUGGAUGGAGGAUUGAGAAACAAAGUAUUGAAAGUUAGAUAUAUAACGAUACAUGUAAACUAGGAAAUAAUCGAGUAAAAGUGAGAAUGAUUGUUGUUGCCAUAUAUGUGGAUUAUGUGUGGAAAUAAAAGAUGGAUUUGGGCGGAAAUUAUUUAGAAAGGUUGAAGUAGGCAUGUGACAUCAUAAAUAAGUUGCCGGAGAUAUAAAAUAAGGAAUUACGUAAGCAACUGAUAUAAGUAAUUUCAGUAAAAAUGUAUUAAGAUGUGAGUCAAUUGAAUAUGGUCUCAUGAUAGGGUGAAAAAUAUAAAUUUAAGUAAGGAUUAAUUGAUUGAAGUGCUACCCCGUAUACGUAUGUAAUUAAAAAUAUUGAGUUGGUAUUAUUGCUAGGAAGUGCAAAGGCAAGGUUAGAGUACUGUGGUGGUGUGCUAGAGUAAAUAACGAGUGACCGACCAGUGAAAAUAGUUAGAGACACCUCUAAACAAAUAACGACUUAAUAUUUCGUUGUUACAAGGUGAGUGAACUUGCAUAAAAUGUUUUGGGAGUAAGGCACAUGUGGUUGAUUGAGAUAUUUUAAUUGUUUUUCUAUAAAAAUGCAGGGGAACAAGCUUUUAGUGAAAUAUUUUUGUGAUGUGGAACAUAAUUGUGAUGAAUCUAUGUACCUCUAUAUGAUACUGAUAUGCAUAUAUAUAAAAAAUAAUAAUAUAUGAUAUGUAUUGUUAAGUAAUUUUGUAUAAUUGAUGUAACCGUCCAUGUGAGGGGUGGGCAGUGCACAUGCCGGUUAAAUGACAAUGUUGUGACAAUUACAACCGUGCAUGUGCGAACUGGGCAGUGCACAUGCCGACUAUGAUGUACGUGUAGGGAGUGCACGUUGGCUGAGUGAGGUGGUGGUAUUUGUGUUUAUAUAUAUAUAUAUAUAUGUACAUGUGUAAUAGAAGGUUUAUGAAUAUAGUACGUGGUUGUAAUGUAUGUGGAAUCUUGCAUGUUGAACAUUGAAAGUUGCUAAGUAUUUUCAAAUUGAUGUUUAUUGCAGCGAGAAACGUGCUGUCACGUUGCUAACUUGCUUGGGUUCUAAUAUAAUUUUUGUUCACUCCUCUAUCUUCAAGAUUGAGCAUUGGUCUUUGCAACACUAAGAGUUUACUAAUCAAUGCUCGAAACAAGGGGUUUAAGAAAGAAAUUAAACUAAAUUGCAUUAUUUUCAAAACAAGUGCAUCAUGAUUUCUAAACCUUCCUUAACGCUGCUUGUUCCCUUCCUAUGUUCACUCACUGAGUUUAUACUCACGUUUUAAAAUUCAUGUUUUAGGUUUCUUGAGUUAAAGGUGAUUGGAUCCUAGGACGAGGUGCUCCUCCCUAUCCAUUGCUCGGUAGGUUUAACGUGGCAUUAAAUGUUAGCAAUCGUGCCUAGAGUCACUUCGCUGACGGUCAAGGUUUAAUCAUGUGUAUAUGAAUACUUGGUGUGAAAUACUAAGAAUCAUUUGUUAAUCUAUAUAUGAAUAUAAUGGUUGAUGAUACCAUUAUGAAUGCAUGAUUGGGUUUUAUGAAUUGUUUUCAAAAGAACGGUAUUUGAACAUUACGAAUUUUG
rnacentral:lncRNA from 1 species